rnacentral:rRNA from 1 species
CACUCUAGAGAGACUGCCAGGGAUAACCUGGAGGAAGGUGGGGAUGACGUCAAAUCAUCAUGCCCCUUAUGCUUAGGGCUACACACGUGCUACAAUGGGUAGUACAGAGGGUUGCCAAGCCGUAAGGCGGAGCUAAUCCCUUAAAGCUACUCUCAGUUCGGAUUGUAGGCUGAAACUCGCCUACAUGAAGCUGGAGUUACUAGUAAUCGCAGAUCAGAAUGCUGCGGUGAAUGCGUUCCCGGGUCUUGUACCCACCGCCCGUCACACCACGGGAGUUGGAGACGCCCGAAGCCGAUUAUCUAACCUUUUGGAAGAAGUCGUCGAAGGUGGAAUUAAUAACUGGGGUGAAGUCGUAACAAGGUAGCCGUAUCGGAAGGUGCGGCUGGAUCACCUCCUUUCUAAGGAGA